rnacentral:rRNA from 1 species
GUGGGGAAUUUUGGACAAUGGGGGCAACCCUGAUCCAGCAAUGCCGCGUGUGUGAAGAAGGCCUUCGGGUUGUAAAGCACUUUUGGCGGGAGCGAAACGGCUUGGGCUAAUACCUCGAGCUAAUGACGGUACCUCUUGAAUAAGCACCGGCUAACUACGUGCCAGCAGCCGCGGUAAUACGUAGGGUGCGAGCGUUAAUCGGAAUUACUGGGCGUAAGGCGUGCGCAGGCGGUUUUGUAAGACAGGCGUGAAAUCCCCGGGCUCAACCUGGGAAUUGCACUUGGGUCUGCAGGGCUGGAGUGCAGCAGAGGGGGAUGGAAUUCCACGUGUAGCAGUGAAAUGCGUAGAGAUGUGGAGGAACACCAAUGGCGAAGGCAGCCCCCUGGGUCGAUACUGACGCUCAUGCACGAAAGCGUGGGGAGCAAACAGGAUUAGAUACCCGAGUAGUCC